rnacentral:tRNA from 1 species
CAUUGAUAAUUAGUUUAAGAUAAAACAAAUGAUUUCGACUCAUUAAAUUAUGAAUUUACAUAAUUAUCAU